UCCUCAGAUCACUCCCUUCGGA
rnacentral:misc_RNA from 1 species